GCAUCGAUAGCCCAGUGGCAGAGCGGUGGGGCGUUUACCCAUGCGGCCCGGGUUCUAUUCCCGGUCGAUGUA